UCAAACACCGCUUUCAGUACGAACACCGAAGUUAAGCAACGUUGAGCCUGAUUAGUAACUAAAUGGGUGACCGCUUGAGAAUAUCAGAUAGU